rnacentral:rRNA from 1 species
UGCCAGCAGCAGCGGUAAUACGGAGGGUGCAAGCGUUGUUCGGAAUUAUUGGGCGUAAAGCGCGUGUAGGCGGUUCGUUAAGUCUUUGUUGUAAGUGCAAGGCUCAACCUUGUGAUGCUAAGGAAACCGGAUGACUUGAGUGUGAUAGAGGUAAGUGGAAUUCCAUGUGUAGCGGUAAAAUGCGUAAAUAUAUGGAGGAACACCAGUGGCGAAGGCGGCUUACUGGGUCACAACUGACGCUGAUGCACGAAAGCGUGGGGAGCAAACAGGAUUAGAUA